AUGCACGGCCAGCCUCGCCGGCCGAAGCAGCCGGAGGACGACGCGGCGGCGGCGGCGAAGGCCGCCAAGCUCCGGGAACUUCAGGUCCAGGUCCUCCACAACCACCACACCUGCACGUACACCGAGGAGGCGCUGGGGCUGAGCUUCAAGCUUCUCGAGAUAAACCCGGAGGCCUACACGGCGUGGAACUACCGGAAGCUCGCGCUGCAGCACAACCUCAAGGAGCUUUCUGAUCCAGAGGCCAUCAAGUCUUCCGUCGAUGCCGAGCUCAGAGUGGUGGAGCUUGCUCUGAGGCAGAACCCAAAGUCCUAUGGAGCGUGGUAUCAUCGCAAGUGGUUGUUGAAUCAAAAGCUUGCCCCUGUGGAUUUCAAGCGUGAAUACGGCCUCUUGGAUAAACUAUUAAAGGUGGAUGCAAGGAAUUUCCACGGAUGGAAUUACCGCAGGUUCCUUGCAAAAUUUAUGGGGGUGCCAGAAGAGAAAGAGCUUCAGUACACAAUGGAUAAGAUCAGUGAGAAUUUCAGUAAUUACUCAGCAUGGCAUAAUCGUAGUAUACUUCUGUCCAAGCUGCUAAUCCAACGAAGUGAAGGUUUUGAGUCAAAGCAGAAGAUCUUCUCAGAGGAGUUUGAACUUGUGAUUCAGGCACUUUUUACAGACCCUGGUGACCAAAGUGGAUGGUUCUAUCACCUCUGGCUUUUAGCUCAGACAUCUACCCCUGAUAACCCACAGCUGAUUUCAUCUUGGCCUUCUAAUGGUGCAAAGCUCAGUUUAUUUCCUACCAGGAAAAAUGAGGACCAGAACAUGGUGUCUUCCCCGAGCUCCAUUUGUUGUUACUCUCUGAAGGAAGGGAUUAUACCCAUUGUGCUUUAUUUCAAUGAUCCUGUCAAAGGAUUAAAUCCAUCAAAUGUGAAGUUAAAUUCUGAUUUUGUGUUUGAUAAGGAUCUUCAGUGGAGGCCCCUCGUGAUAACCGACUCCGGUUAUUCUAAUUGUUGGGCCACAUAUCUUGAAAUUAGAAACAAAGAUUGUAGCACUUCACAGCAAUUUUCUGUUGAAGUAAGCAUACCCUGCUCAGAUGAUAUCAUGUCAAGAAGUGGCUCUCACUGCAAUUGCCCUGUACAUUUUACAUUUACCGUUGAACUGGGAAACAAUAAUGAUGAAGCACAUGAUAUCGAUUUGUUUCAUGACCCAAUCUCCUGGAGUAGCUCAGAAUCAUUCCAGUCUCAUGGGAAACCCAGUUGUGUCGCUUUUGAUCAGCUAAAUAUCACCAGUGCCUUGGUUCAAGAGGAGUCAAGAUGGAAUUUGGAUAGACUAUCUGAUGAAAUCGACCUUUUCAGAGAUUUACCUGAUGAGAAUAGUAAAUUUGCCAAAUUGACACUAGCACGGCUAUUGCUUGCUUGCGCUGCAAUAAAGUCCCGCGGAAGUUCUUUGAUUGAAAGGAAGGGAUAUUGCGAAGAGGCGCUAGGGUUCUUUAGUGACUUGAUUAAUUUGGAUCCUUCUCAUAAAAGAUAUUAUGAAGAUGAGCGGAGCUUAGUACUAAUGGAUCAGCUAACAUGCGACAUGGAGACUUUCAUGAAGUACUGUUCAGUCCAAGUUAAAUCAGAGUCAGCUCCAUUGAACCAUGUGCAACUUUGUAGAUUGUCUCUAACACGCAUUGGGUUUACUGAACGCGUGUUGUGGAUUCAAAUGCUGGACCUAAGCCAUAACAGCCUCAGAUCAGUUGAAGGUUUGGAGGCUCUGCAGCAGCUUGUGUGCCUGAACAUCAGCAACAACCAGAUCAGCAGUUUCACGUCACUCGAACCCCUGACGAAGAUAGUUUCUUUGAAAGCGUUGGAUUUGUCUUUCAACAAGAUUGGAGCUCACUUGAUCGACACGACACGUUACAUGUGCUCAUCUCCAUUUUCGCACAAAGUCGAACGGUGUGAAGCCUUCGAGGAGUGCCGAAAGAAAAACGUCAAUGUGGAGGAGUUCUGGGACGCCAUACUCUUCUUCAAAUCCAUGGACCUGGUGCAGCUUGACUUCAAGGGAAAUGCGGUCGCGGACAAGGAUAGCUUUGCAGCUGUCGUGUCGACCCUCAGCCCUUCUCUGAAGUGGCUCAACGGCACAUGUAUCCAUUAG
rnacentral:rRNA from 1 species